UACGUAGGGUGCAAGCGUUAAUCGGAAUUACUGGGCGUAAAGCGUGCGCAGGCGGUUUUGUAAGUCAGAUGUGAAAUCCCCGGGCUUAACCUGGGAACUGCGUUUGAAACUACAAGGCUAGAGUGUGGCAGAGGGGGGUGGAAUUCCACGUGUAGCAGUGAAGUGCGUAGAUAUUGGGAAGAACACCGGUGGCGAAGGCGGCGACCUGGUCCGAUACUGACGCUGAGGCGCGAAAGCGUGGGGAGCAAACAGG
rnacentral:rRNA from 1 species